rnacentral:rRNA from 1 species
AUUGAACGCUGGCGGUAGGCCUAACACAUGCAAGUCGAACGGCAGCACAGUAAGAGCUUGCUCUUACGGGUGGCGAGUGGCGGACGGGUGAGGAAUACAUCGGAAUCUACUUUUUCGUGGGGGGUAACGUAGGGAAACUUACGCUAAUACCGCAUACGACCUACGGGUGAAAGCAGGGGAUCUUCGGACCUUGCGCGAUUGAAUGAGCCUAUGUCGGAUUAGCUAGUUGGCGGGUUAAAGGCCCACCAAGGCGACGAUCCGUAGCUGGUCUGAGAGGAUGAUCAGCCACACUGGAACUGAGACACGGUCCAGACUCCUACGGGAGGCAGCAGUGGGGAAUAUUGGACAAUGGGGGCAAGCCUGAUCCAGCCAUACCGCGUGGGUGAAGAAGGCCUUCGGGUUGUAAAGCCCUUUUGUUGGGAAAGAAAAGCAGCAGGUUAAUACCCCGCUGUUAUGACGGUACCGAAAGAAUAAGCACCGGCUAACUUCGUG